rnacentral:lncRNA from 1 species
UGGAUUUAUUGAUGGCAUAAAGUAGUAAGUCUUCUCUCCUGUAUUGCUGUUAAAAUUGUUUCAUAAUUUGAUACUUGUUCUUAGCAAUUCAGUUAGAUUACUAGUAGCACUCAAUGUGGAAUAUAAAAUAAACCUUUGUCAUUCAAAUGCACCCACUUACUGCUCUGUAGCUCAUAGACUUUCCAAGAUGCAGAUUGAAUAUUUUAAAUGCCAGCAGCCCUUGAAAGUCAUUAAUUCUCCUGUACAAUAUCUCUCUUGCAGGGACUAUUAUGUUGUCCAUAGACAUAGACUUGAGGAUCUUCUAAAGGUGAAGGAGUUGUCAAUGUCAGCACGAAGCAGAAGUUGCCCUGUGAAGUAGCAGAAAGCUCUCCUGUUGAUAUUGGGAACAUUUGCUAAAGUGACAGCAAAAUAUGCCGAGUCUAGGCUGUUGUAUCCACAUUGCUCUGCAAUGACUUCAUGGUCAAGCUUCCCUCUUUCUGUGUGGAGUAAGAAAUACUGCAUGUCCUGCCUACUUAAGAGCUGCCUAGGGGCUUUAGUAAUUUAUUGUCUCAAAGCUCACGAGCCAUUUCAUUGGAAGGGAUUGACCAUCUAUGGAUCUUGACGUCUUUUUAUGCAGUAACAUACUAUGUCAAGUUGGUUUUUUUUUUUUUUUUUUUAAUGGAGAUAUCCCAUCUCCUAGAACUGGAAGGGACCUUGAAAGGUCAUCGAGUCCAGCCCCCUGCCUUCACUAGCAGGACCAAGUACUGAUUUUGCCCCAGAUCCCCAAGUGGCCCCCUCAAGGAUUGAACUCACAACCCUGGGUUUAGCAGGCCAAUGCUCAAACCACUGAGCUAUCCCUCCCCCCAUUAUGUUCUUGUGUCCAUAAUGGCUGUAUUCACCCCCUGCAAGCUGGGUUCAACCCACUGCUGUAAUGUGGAAGAUUAUGAUGUACUAAAAAUCAUUAAAAGUACUGAGGUAACUUCUUAAAUGGAUUGAAGUGUGUGCUUCUGUAUAUGAAUGGGAAGGUGGUGUGGUUAAGCAGAGCCUGGGUCUCUAGACAUCAGGAUUCAAAUCUGAGCUGUGCUAAGCAGAUUUCCUGUUGGAUCUUAGCCAAGUCAUUUGAUCUCCCGGCCUCAGCACCCCAUGUGUAAAAUGGGGAUUGUUUCCCUAUGUUGUGAAGAAAAAUCCAUUUGUGUUUGAGGUGCUCAAAUACCACAGUCAUGGAGAUGACAAAUACCUCGAUAGCCUGUUCUAGACAUGGGUGAAUGCAGACCCCAGGCAUAAGGUGAUGCCAGUAUCUUGAGAAGCUUUUAAAUGGUUAAAUUGGGGAAAAUACCCAACUAUCAGCUUGUUUUCAGACAAAUAAAACUACCCCUCAAUCAUCCUCCUUUGAG